UUCCUUGUCGGGUAAGUUCCGACCUGCACGAAUGGCGUAACGAUGGCCACACUGUCUCCUCCUGAGACUCAGCGAAGUUGAAAUGUUUGUGAAGAUGCAAUCUCCCCGCGGCUAGACGGAAAGACCCCAUGAACCUUUACUGUAGCUUUGCAUUGGACUUUGACGGGACUUGUGUAGGAUAGGUGGGAGGCUUUGAAACCGGGGACGCCAGUUCCGGUGGAGCCAACCUUGAAAUACCACCCUGGUGUCGUCGAGGUUCUAACCCCAGGCCUGUGAAUCCAGGUCGGGGACCGUGCAUGGUGGGCAGUUUGACUGGGGCGGUCUCCUCCCAAAAGGUAACGGAGGAGUACGAAGGUCACCUAGGUACGGUCGGACAUCGUACUGAUAGUGCAAUGGCAAAAGGUGGCUUGACUGCGAGACCCACAAGUCGAGCAGGUGCGAAAGCAGGUCAUAGUGAUCCGGUG
rnacentral:rRNA from 1 species